CGCCAUGGCGCUGCUAUACUGCAGUCGAGCGAUGGAUUAAGAGCUUGCUCUUAUGAAGUUAGCGGCGGACGGGUGAGUAACACGUGGGUAACCUGCCCAUAAGACUGGGAUAACUCCGGGAAACCGGGGCUAAUACCGGAUAACAUUUUGAACCGCAUGGUUCGAAAUUGAAAGGCGGCUUCGGCUGUCACUUAUGGAUGGACCCGCGUCGCAUUAGCUAGUUGGUGAGGUAACGGCUCACCAAGGCAACGAUGCGUAGCCGACCUGAGAGGGUGAUCGGCCACACUGGGACUGAGACACGGCCCAGACUCCUACGGGAGGCAGCAGUAGGGAAUCUUCCGCAAUGGACGAAAGUCUGACGGAGCAACGCCGCGUGAGUGAUGAAGGCUUUCGGGUCGUAAAACUCUGUUGUUAGGGAAGAACAAGUGCUAGUUGAAUAAGCUGGCACCUUGACGGUACCUAACCAGAAAGCCACGGCUAACUACGUGCCAGCAGCCGCGGUAAUACGUAGGUGGCAAGCGUUAUCCGGAAUUAUUGGGCGUAAAGCGCGCGCAGGUGGUUUCUUAAGUCUGAUGUGAAAGCCCACGGCUCAACCGUGGAGGGUCAUUGGAAACUGGGAGACUUGAGUGCAUAAGAGGAAAGUGGAUUUCCUUGUGUAGCGGUGAAUGCCUACAGAUA
rnacentral:rRNA from 1 species